AGCUCCAUGCUGGCCCUGCUAUUUGUAAGCAUCUUGAUUGCACGAUGCCUUAAUUUCCUCAUCUGUUGUAGGUAGGUAUGGGGUCAGAGGAAAUAGAGGCCCAGAGCAAAGCAGAAGUCCUCAAGGUAUAAAGCAGGGAGAUGAGGACAAAUGCAGGUCAUAAUGAGAGAGAAAGGAGGCCUGGGGCAGAGAGGGGCUAUGAGCAUGCUGGGGCCGAGAGACUGGAAAUCUUAAGGGAAGAGGAGCGCCAGGCCAGGGAUUCUGUGCCUACGCGGCAGGGUCUCCCUCUAGAAUGUGCUGGACAGCUCCUGAGGUAGAGGCCUGGCCCUGGGUGCUGCAGAGCUCACAGGGCCUGGAGGGGUUGGAUCCAGAGCCUUUGACCCUGACCUAAAAGCAAUGGAACCCAGCAAGCACAGACGGAAACCUCUGCAACCUCAAGCUAAAACCAAC